rnacentral:rRNA from 1 species
CCAGUAACGGCGAGUGAAGCGGCAACAGCUCAAAUUUGAAAUCUGGCCCCCUCGGGGCCCGAGUUGUAAUUUGCAGAGGGAGCUUUUGGCGUCGGUCGUGGUCUAAGUUCCUUGGAACAGGACGUCACAGAGGGUGAGAAUCCCGUACGUGGCCGCCGGCCUUCGCCUUGUAAAGCCCCUUCGACGAGUCGAGUUGUUUGGGAAUGCAGCUCUAAAUGGGAGGUAAAUUCCUUCUAAAGCUAAAUACCCGCCAGAGACCGAUAGCGCACAAGUAGAGUGAUCGAAAGAUGAAAAGCACUUUGGAAAGAGAGUGAAAAAGCACGUGAAAUUGUUGAAAGGGAAGCGCUUGCGGCUAGACGUGCCCGCGGUUGAUCAUCCAGGCUCCGGCCUGGUGCACUCCUCCGCGGGCAGGCCAGCAUCAGUUCGGGCGGUCGGAUAAAGGCCUCUGUCACGUACCACCCCUCGGGGUGGCCUUAUAGGGGAGGCGCAACACGGCCAGCCCGGACUGAGGUUCCGCGCAUCUGCUAGGAUGCUGGCGUAAUAGCAGCAAGCGGCCCGUCUUGAAACACGGACCAAGGAGUCUAACAUCUAUGCGAGUGUUUGGGUGUCAAGCCCGAGCGCGCAAUGAAAGUGAACGGAGGUGGGAACCCUCACGGGUGCACCAUCGACCGAUCCUGAUGUCUUCGGAUGGAUUUGAGUAAGAGCAUAGCUGUUGGGACCCGAAAGAUGGUGAACUAUGCCUGAAUAGGGUGAAGCCAGAGGAAACUCUGGUGGAGGCUCGCAGCGGUUCUGACGUGCAAAUCGAUCGUCAAAUUUGGGCAUAGGGGCGAAAGACUAAUCGAACCUCUAGAACUGGUCC